rnacentral:rRNA from 1 species
CGGCCGCGGAAUUCGCCCUUUGCCAGCAGCCGCGGUAAUACGUAAGUGGCMAGCGUUGUCCGGAUUUAUUGGGCGUAAAGGGAGCGCAGGUGGUUUCUUAAGUCUGAUGUGAAAGCCCACGGCUUAACCGUGGAGGGUCAUUGGAAACUGGGAAACUUGAGUACAGAAGAGGAAUGUGGAACUCCAUGUGUAGCGGUGGAAUGCGUAGAUAUAUGGAAGAACACCAGUGGCGAAGGCGACAUUNUGGUCUGUUACAGACACUGAGGCUCGAAAGCGUGGGGAGCAAACAGGAUUAGAUACCGGGUAGUCCAAGGGCGAAA